CGGUACCAGAGGAAUCAGCAUCGGCUAACUCCGUGCCAGCAGCCGCGGUAAKACGGAGGAUGCAAGCGUUAUCCGGAAUGAUUGGGCGUAAAGCGUCCGCAGGUGGCAGUUCAAGUCUGCUGUCAAAGACCGGRGCUYAACUUCGGAAAGGCAGUGGAAACUGAACAGCUAGAGUAUGGUAGGGGCAGAGGGAAUUCCCGGUGUAGCGGU
rnacentral:rRNA from 1 species